AAGGUAGCAUAAUAAAUUGACUUUUAAUUGAAGUCUAGAAUGAAAGGAUUAAUGAAUAUUAACUGUCUUAAUUAAACUUUUAUAAUUUUCUUAUGAGGUGAAAAUUCCUUUUUAAUUUAAUAGACGAGAAGACCCUAGGAGUUUUUUUGUUGGGGCGACAUUAUAACAUGUAACUUAUAUAAUAAGUAUGUUUUAUUUAAAAAUGUUUUUGAUAAUAAAUAAGCUACCCUAGGGAUAACAGCAUAAAGUUUAUGACCUCGAUGUUGGAUUAGGGAACUUAAUAUUAAUUAUAUUAAUUGACUGUUCUGUUCGAACAAAUAUACCU
rnacentral:rRNA from 1 species